CAAAAUGGAGGAAGCAGGAUGUCAGCGUGAAGGAGAGGCACAAAAUUCUCUGCUGCUCAUCAGGUGUUCAUUUAGGAGGAUUUUGUGAGAUUGUUUGAGGUCUCUGGAAAGAGCCUUUGUUUAACAGGAAGGAAUCUGAAUGAUAUUUAAAGA